GGAACGGGUUCUGGGCCUGUGGGGCUGGUGAGGCUGCUUCUCCUUCCUGUAUUUCCAGUCCAGGAAUAUUGUCAGGAGGCUGGAGAACAGCCCUCCUCACUGGGCUGCCAGAUGAGGAGCUGCCCCGCUCUGGGUUCGCCAGCGGGCACUGCCCCCCACCUGAAACCUUGGAAUCCCCAGGACGCAGAGCAGUCUGUGUUCCCCUCUGUGAUACAAGGAGGGGGCUGGACCAGACCAUGGCCUCGGCUCAUCAGAAUUCCCUGGGAGGUUUCUAGUCCCUCCUGUAGGCCUCUUGAACCAUACUCUCAUAAACUGGGAUGUGGGUGUCUGGAUCUUGGUGAAACUCCCCAGGUGACUGUCCUGGGAAGUGGCCCUGACCCACUAAGCCAGCUGGCCAUCCCGGAUUCUCUUCUGACCUGUCCAGCAGCUGCCCACAGGAAGGUGCCUCUCUACUCAGGGCAGUUGGGUGCCAAGCUGCAGAUCCCCUGUACAGCUCCAUGGCACAGUCCCUUAGGAUUGUUCUGGCCACUCUCUGCCUGUGGAGGCACACGCGUUGGGCUCUGCUGUCCCCUGAGCCAAGAGCUGAGGGAGCCAGAGCUUGCACUGCAUUCGGUAGGCAUUUCUAGCUCUGGUUCUAGUAGAGGGUGGCCUGCAGCAUGGAAUGGGUGAGCUCACAUGGACUGGACCCUCCACAUUCCAAUAGCCACUCAGCCCUGGCAGUAGCCUAUAGCAGGCGAUGUGAUCUGUUGCCCUCUGCUCCUGCCAAUUUCUAGGGGUCCACACAUGCUCAGGCUGGCGGGAUAAUUAACGACUCCCUCAUGUACCAGCAAAGCUCGUGCACUGUAAGUCAGAAGUGCUGUCGCAGACAUGGGCCCAGUGCAUCCUUACAGCAGACCUGAGAUAUCAGCAAGUGAAAAGAGUUGGCCCUGUCCCCCAGAUAAGGAAAGAGGAUCAGAGAGGUUAAGUGAGUCACCCAGGAUCACCAACCAGGCAGUGCUGGCAUCAGGACUGAGCCCAAGCUCCUGGCUUCCAGUCCCAUGCCACCUUUCACAUACUUCACUGCUCUGAGGCUUAUUUUUAUUUCCCAGAAAAAACUGAGGUACUAUGUGUUGGUUUGUGGGGAUUGGAGAUUAUAUGAUUUUUGAGAGGACUUAGAAGACUUUCAGCAACCGUACCCCAGAGGGAGGGUUUGAGCUGGUUUUCUUUGGGGAAACUAAAUGACAAAAGAGACAAU
rnacentral:lncRNA from 1 species